AUUGAACGCUGGCGGCAGGCUUACCACAUGCAAGUCGAGCGAGCGGCGGACGGGUGAGUAAUGUCUGGGAAACUGCCUGAUGGAGGGGGAUAACUACUGGAAACGGUUGCUAAUACCGCAUACCAUCAGAUGUUCCCAGAUGGGGUUAGCUAGUAGGUGGGGUAAUGGCUCACCUAGGCGACGAUCCCUAGCUGGUCUGAGAGGGUGACCAGCCACACUGAAACUAAGACACGGUCCAGACUCCGACGGGGGGCAGAAGUGGGGAAUAGUGCACAAUGGGCGCAAGCCGGAUGCAGCCAUGCCGCGUGGGUGAAGAAGGCCUUCGGGUUGUAAAGCACUUUCAGCGAGGAGGCGUUACUCGCAGAAGAAGCACCGGCUAACUCCGUGCCAGCAGCCGCGGUAAUAC
rnacentral:rRNA from 1 species